UACGUAGGUGGCGAGCGUUGUCCGGAUUUACUGGGCGUAAAGGGAGCGUAGGCGGACUUUUAAGUGAGAUGUGAAAUACCCGGGCUCAACUUGGGUGCUGCAUUUCAAACUGGAAGUCUAGAGUGCAGGAGAGGAGAGUGGAAUUCCUAGUGUAGCGGUGAAAUGCGUAGAUAUUAGGAGGAACACCAGUUGCGAAGGCGGCUCUCUGGACUGUAACUGACACUGAGGCACGAAAGCGUGGGUAGCAAACAGGAUUAGAUACCCU
rnacentral:rRNA from 1 species